CGGUUGGGUCCUUAGUGGCGCACGGGUGCGUAACGCGUGGGAAUCUGCCCCUUGGUUCGGAAUAACAGUUAGAAAUGACUGCUAAUACCGGAUGAUGACGUAAGUCCAAAGAUUUAUCGCCGAGGGAUGAGCCCGCGUAGGAUUAGCUAGUUGGUGUGGUAAGAGCGCACCAAGGCGACGAUCCUUAGCUGGUCUGAGAGGAUGAUCAGCCACACUGGGACUGAGACACGGCCCAGACUCC
rnacentral:rRNA from 1 species